ensembl:lincRNA
AAAUGGUGUUGUCCAAAGAUGUCUCCACACAGCUGGACUUUUUCUUGGAUGCUCUUUUGGUUGACACUGAAUCCACAGAGAUUUCUGGCUUCAUGGAUGGCCAAACACUGAGUUCGGAGAUGAGGGUUAAUGGACUGACUGGUGAUGGAAAAGAUAGCUCAGAGAUAUUUCAAGCAGGCUGCAAGAAUCUCCCAAUUUCGUCCAUCACAAAUCCAUCAUUGAUCCUGGAUGAAGGCUUCAGCUGGCAAAGGAAAGGAAAUACAGAGUUCAAAGCAAGGAUAAAGUUGAAGACAUGGUCUAUUUACAAACUAUGA